rnacentral:ncRNA from 1 species
UGCUAAGGUUCACUUUUCAGAGUGAUUAAUAGGGAACGGGGCGUAAUUCCCCGACUGUCUCGCAGCUGUGAGUCCCUUUAUAGUACUGAAGCAAGCAAUCCACUGCCCCUUAUUUCAUCUCGGGCGGGAAGGAGCAUCAGUAUGGGACGUAGUCAGAAGACCUGCCUUAAGC